AACGAACGCUGGCGGCAGGCCUAACACAUGCAAGUCGAACGCACCGCAAGGUGAGUGGCGCACGGGUGAGUAACACGUGGGAAUGUACCCUUUGGUUCGGAAUAACGUUUGGAAACGAACGCUAAUACCGGAUGAGCCCUGCGGGGGAAAGAUUUAUCGCCCAAGGAGCAGCCCGCGUCUGAUUAGCUAGUUGGUGGGGUAAAGGCCUACCAAGGCGACGAUCAGUAGCUGGUCUGAGAGGAUGAUCAGCCACACUGGGACUGAGACACGGCCCAGACUCCUACGGGAGGCAGCAGUGGGGAAUAUUGGACAAUGGGCGCAAGCCUGAUCCAGCCAUGCCGCGUGAGUGAUGAAGGCCUUCGGGUUGUAAAGCUCUUUCGCACACGACGAUGAUGACGGUAGUGUGAGAAGAAGCCCCGGCUAACUUCGUGCCAGCCGCCGCGGUAACAC
rnacentral:rRNA from 1 species